GUACGGGAGGCAGCAGUAGGGAAUCUUCCACAAUGGACGAAAGUCUGAUGGAGCAACGCCGCGUGAGCGAUGAAGGCCUUCGGGUCGUAAAGCUCUGUUGUUAGGGAAGAACAAGUACCGGAGUAACUGCCGGUACCUUGACGGUACCUAACCAGAAAGCCACGGCUAACUACGUGCCAGCAGCCGCGGUAAUACGUAGGUGGCAAGCGUUGUCCGGAAUUAUUGGGCGUAAAGCGCGCGCAGGCGGUCCUUUAAGUCUGAUGUGAAAGCCCACGGCUCAACCGUGGAGGGUCAUUGGAAACUGGGGGACUUGAGUGCAGAAGAGGAAAGCGGAAUUCCACGUGUAGCGGUGAAAUGCGUAGAGAUGUGGAGGAACACCAGUGGCGAAGGCGGCUUUCUGGUCUGUAACUGACGCUGAGGCGCGAAAGCGUGGGGAGCAAACAGGAUUAGAUACCCCGGUAC
rnacentral:rRNA from 1 species